GUUAACUUCCCGUUACCGCUGACAAACUGACCGUGCGUUUCCUGUUCCUCUGUGUCUGCAGAUCUCCAUCCAGGACAUCCUGAGGCCCUCCUCAGACCUUCCCCGUUGUUUCCGCCCACCACUGGGUCAAGUGGGUCCAUAGCAGGUGGGAUGCUGGGAGGGAGCUGGAAAGAGACUUCCUGAUUAAGAACGAGGGGCACAAACAUGGACAGAUGUUUUCCAAACCCCAUCUGGCCCAAACCUUCCAGCUACCAUCAACCCCUCCCAUCUACCAUUCAGAACAGAGGCGUGAUGAG
rnacentral:lncRNA from 1 species